rnacentral:misc_RNA from 1 species
GAUGAAGAACGCAGCGAAAUGCGAUAAGUAAUGUGAAUUGCAGACUUCAGUGAAUCAUCGAAUCUUUGAACGCACCUUGCGCCCUUUGGCCAUUCCGAAGGGCAUGCCUGUUUGAGUAUCAUGAACACCUCAACUCUCAUGGCUCGCCAUGAUGAGCUUGGAUUUGGGGGUCUUGCUGGCCUGUGGUCGGCUCCUCUCAAAUGGAUCAGCUUGCCAGUGUUUGGUGGCAUCACAGGUGUGAUAACUAUCUGCGCUUGUGGUUUUCCAUCAGAUAACCUUCAGUGAUGGAGGUUCGCUGGAGCUCAUAAACGUCUCCCCUAAGCGGGGACAGCCCUUUGAAUGUUUGAUCUCAAAUCAGGUAGGACUACCCGCUGAACUUAAGCAUAUCAAUAAGCGGAGGA